rnacentral:lncRNA from 1 species
UGUGUGUGUGUGUUUGCGUGCACUUCCAUGAGCUGAGGCUAGGGGGCGCUCUGUGGCCAGGCUGGAGCGGUUGCUGCUGCUGCUGCUGCUGCUGCUGUGUGUGUGUGUGUGUGUGUGUCUGACGGACGGGCGGCUGGCUGGGCGAGUCACAUGGGGAGACAGAGCCAGUUUAAAAGUGUGUGUGUGUGCCCUGACCAGAGCAGAAGGAGCCUAGCCAGCGCUCCAGGCACAGCGAGAGAGAGAGAGAGAGAGAGACACACACACACACGCCGACAGCCUGACAGCGCAACUCUCACACACACACGCACGCACGCGACGCAGACGUAUGCAGACGCGCACACACAUACACUCCUCACACGCACAUAUAUAGACACAGACACACACAGAGACGGUGUGCAGAGAGCGAGAGAGCGAGAGCGAGAGAGCGAGAGAGACGCGUGCACACACACACGCUCUGCUUCUGGAGAGGACUCCUCACACACACAGAGAGAGCGAGAGAGAGUAAGAGAGAGGAGCAAGGAAAAGCUUUUAAAUGGCCAACGCUCUGACGUCGACCUGCUGCGUGGUGCUGGCUGCCGUGGUGGUGGUCUACGCACAAAGGAAAAGCCAGCUAGGUAAGUCCCCCCCACACACACACACACAAUACAGACAUACACACACACACACACACACACACACACACACACACACACACACACACAAUACAGACACACACACACACAAUACAAACACACACAACACACACACACACACAAUACAGACACACACACACACAUUUAACAGACAUACACACACUUGCACAUACACACACAUUUAACAGACAUACAGACACUAAACACACACACACCACACACACACACACACACACACACUCACUCACUCACACACACAUACCUAUGUCUCUUUUGUCUAAUGAAGUGUCUGUAGCUGGCUCAUGGCGCUGUAGUUGUUUGUUUGGGUGUUGUCAUGUUGUUGUUUGGUUGU